AUGCACUGUCUGAACUGCGUCCGUGUAACUCGCUCUAGCAUAUCCUGUGUGUGCAUAUCACGUCUGUGGCAUCACCAUGGUGGAACCGAAAAUGGACCUAUCAAGGAGAUGGAUGUGGUUAUACUAGAUGCAGGUAACCAUAUGUAUGCAGAGAUGCCUGAGAAAUUUGUUAACCAAUUUAUAUGCGUCCUCCAAGAGUGUGGGUUGAUGAUCUGUCGCAAGUUUCUGGUCUUUCUCAAGAAGUAUGUCUUUGGGCCGGUGGAGAGUCAAUACAUGAUUAAGUUCACUAGGUAUACAACUGUUGCGUGA
rnacentral:rRNA from 1 species